AAAAGAAUUAUCGGUUAAGAAGGGCCCCCGUCUGAUUAUCUAUUUGUGGGGGUAAAGGCCCCCAAAGGGAGGAUCUGUAGCCGGACUUGAAGGUGAUCUGGCCCCAUUGGGAAUGAGAUACGGGCCAGAAUCUUAUCGGGAGGCACCACUGGGGAAUAUUUUGCAAUGGAGGGAAGUCUGAGCCAGAAAACCCCCGUGAAAGAAAAAAAGCCUUUGGGUUUUAAAAUUUUUUCUCAUAGGAAGAGAAAAAGACUGUACCAUGUGAAUAAGCCACGGCUAAAUACGUGCCAGCAGCCGCGGUAAUAUGUAGGUCGCGAGCGUUGUCCGGAUUUACUGGGUGUAAAGGGUGUGUAGGCGGGAUUACAUGUCAGAUGUGAAAUUCCGAGGCUCAACUUGCGAGCUUCAUUUGAAACUGAUUUUGAUUAUUGUAGAAGAGAUAAUAGUUAUUCCUGGUGUAGCGAUGAAAUUAGUUGUUAUUAGGAACAACACCAGUGGCGAAGGCGGUUUUGUGGACAACAGCUGAUGAUGCGGCAUAACAGGGUGAGCAGCCAACAUGAUUUGCUACCGUGGUAGUCCACGCAGUAAACGAUUAAUAGUAGUUGUAGGUGGAAUCGACCCCUUGUGUGCCGCAGUUAACACAAUAAGUAUUCCGCGUGGGGAGUACGAUCGCAAGAUUAAAAGUCAAAGGAAUGAACGGGGGCCCGCACAAGCAGUGGAGCAUAUGGUUUAAUUAGAAGCAACGCGAAGAACCUUACCUAGACUUGACAUCCCAUCAAUUACCUGGAGUCACUGUUAGUCGCUCGUCGCAGGAAGCGAGGGGGGGCGGGGUGUUGUUCUCGUCGGUUCGUGUGAUGUGGGGUUAGGUCCAGUACCGAGGCAACCCCUACUCUUAGUUUGCGUCCAUUAGGUUGAGCACUCUAGAGAGACUGCCGGGGACAACUCGGAGGAAGGUGGGGAUGACGUCAAAUCAUCAUGCCCCUUAUGUCUAGGGCUACACACGUGAUACAAUGGCUGUUACAAGAGGGUGCAAACCGCGAGGUGGAGCCAAACCCAUAAAAGCAGUCUCAGUUCGGAUUGUAGGCUGAAACUCGCCUACAUGAAGC
rnacentral:rRNA from 1 species